AUUGAACGCUGGCGGCAGGCCUAACACAUGCACGUAGAGCGAGUGGCGGACGGGUGAGUAAUGUAUGGGGACCUGCCCGAUAGAGGGGGAUCACUACUGGAAAAGGUGGCUAAUACCGCAUAAUAUCGGAUGAACCUAUAUGGGAUUCUCUAGUAGGCGGGGUAAAGGCGCACCUCGGCGACGAUCUGUAGCUGGUCUGAGAGGAUGAUCAGCCACAAGGGGACUGAGACACGGCCCAGACUCCUACGGGAGGCAGCAGUGGGGAAUAUUGCACAAUGGGCGCAAGCCUGAUUCAGCCAUGCCGCGUGUAUGAAGAAGGCCGUCGGGUUGUAAAGGACUUUCAUUCGGGAGGCGUUACCGACAGAAGAAGCACCGGCUAACUCCGUGCCAGCAGCCGCGGUAAUAC
rnacentral:rRNA from 1 species